rnacentral:rRNA from 1 species
CCGUACCCUGGAGUGAGGGAUACCGGCGAGAAAUCGCCGACAAUACCGCAUAGGCUCUCUUUUGUGAAAGAGAGAGAGCAAAGUCUCGCGCGAGCGGGGCGCUUUGGGAUGGGCCUGUGGCCGAUUAGCUAGCUGGUGGGGUAAUGGCUCACCAGGGCGAUGAUCGGUAGCUGGUCCGAGAGGACGAUCAGCCACACUGGGAUUGAGAACGGCCCAG